GACGAACGCUGGCGGCGCGCCUAACACAUGCAAGUCGAGCGAAGCGGCGAACGGGUGAGUAACGCGUGAGGAACCUGCCUCUCACAACGGGAUAGCCUCGGGAAACCGGGAUUAAUACCGUAUGGUGAGAGAUGGCCUCGCGUAUGAUUAGUUAGUUGGUGAGGUAACGGCCCACCAAGGCGACGAUGGGUAGCCGGCCUGGGAGGGUGAACGGCCACAUUGGAACUGGGAAACGGUCCAAACUCGACGGGAGGCAGCAGUGGGGAAUAUUGCAAAAUGGAGGGAACUCUGAUGCAGCGACGCCGCGUGAACGAAGAAGGCUUUCGAGUCGUAAAGUUCUUUUAUAUGGGAAGCGGUACCAUAAGAAAAAGCCCCGGCUAACUACGUGCCAUCCGCCGCGGUAAUAC
rnacentral:rRNA from 1 species